GUGGCUGAAUGCAGUGAGGAAUUCUCUUAUCUUUAUUGUCAUUAGGGAAAAAUGCUUCUGCUUCUCUCUGCUUUACAUCAAUGCCAUGGGACUACUCACAUUCCACUGCUAUCAGACCAGACAACCAGUCAGCUGACACCAGGCAGAUCACUGGGCCAUAACACUUCUCUUGCAGCCUGCUGCACUCCUCUUCUCUCUGCUCCACUGGGGAUGGAUGGGGGAGAAGGGAGGAAACAGGAGCUUGCACAUCAUGGGCAAAUGGUCAAGUUCCUGGCCCCCCCUCCCUGGCUGGCAUGAUUUAGUGGAGGCUUGCUCUUCCUGCCAUUAUUCGUCUCGUGAAGAAGCGCUCUGCACUGAGGGAGCCGCCUGGUGCCACGACCCGCAGGCCGUUCAGCUCCAUUCAGCAGGCUGUUAACCCUUGCUUUGCCAUAUGUACCCUAAUGCCUUACAAUGAUCAUGUUUUGCUAACUUGGUAUUGGAAGCUGGUUUAAGAAUUUUAGAGGACUGUAAAAAUGUAUUCAGAAUCAUGAAUUAUAUAAGAUCAAAUGAUAAGAGUUCACAUGGUUUAUUACUGUUUGCAACACAUAGCAUCAAAACCAAUCAAGUGGCCCAUUAAGUAAUAAGAUAUAUAGUUAAUAUUCUUGUACUAAAAUGCAUUAAACAGUAAAACAUCAA